rnacentral:lncRNA from 1 species
CAGCGACACACCAUAGAGGAGGAGGAGGACACCGUGGCGGUCUCGCUGUCGGACGCUGGGCAGCACCUUAACCAGCAAGGAGGUGGCCAAUUGCAACAACCAGCGGCUGCUCUGUUGGCGACAUUGAUAGAACAAGCAAGUAUGGCGUCAUACGAUGUGGAGGCAUUCAUGCGAGUAAAUUUGUUACUUUCGAAUGAGCAGAUGUGGGAGGCUGGGAGUAAAUUUGUUACUUUUGAAAAACUCCACGGAGUAAAUUUGUUACUUUUAAAACGUGCGGAGAUACUAGAAAAAUGGAAAACUUGGAAAGAAAAACUAGACGGUAAAUAUUUUACUAAAACGUGA